ACGUCUCUACAGUCUGAACCAGUCAUUUGCAUGAUGUAUUCAGAUCAUCAGUGUCCCUCCCACUUCACUGACAUGUUCAAUAUGGUGAAACCUGCCGUGGUCUACUGAUUGUCAUCUAUUCAUCUAUGUGACACUCCUCUUUUAUUCUGUACAUUGAUACCAGACUCUUUCCAGCACUCUCACAUAUAACGUGAUCAAACAUGUUCACAUUUCUCUUCACUGUUACUGUCUUAGUGCUUUGUGCUGCAGGUCUUGUUGAGGGGAGUGAAGUCACUCAGACACCCACCAUACUCUGGGGACUGAAAGACAGUGAUGCUCAGAUGAACUGCAGUCACACUAAGGGAGCUGGCUACAACCAGAUGUACUGGUACAGACAGCGUCCAGGAGAGGGAAUGAAGCAGGUAGUCUUCACAAGUAGUUAUAGCAAACCAGACUAUGGAGCCUUCGGUGAAGACAAAUAUCCAACUGUUAAGACAGAUGCUGAGAGUGGAUCUUUCACAGUGAAGAAGGUGGAGGCAGGAGACAGCGGCAUGUACUUCUGUGCCGUGUAUGAACACAGUGAUACAGACGACAAGCACAGCUGCACAAAAACCCCAGAGUUUCAAUAG